UCAAUUUUAAUUAUGAAUUUAAAAAUAUUACGUAUUAUGUAAUUUACAAAAUUGUGCUUCCUUUUUUAACUUUUAAAUUUUAUCCCAUUUUAUUGUAAGGCAAUAUUACAAUCCAGUUUUUAAGUUUAAACUUGCGCACACGUUUAUUCUGAACGCACCGCAGUGACUGUGAAAAAAAAGUUCCAUUCGCCGGUUGGCUGCGUGUACAGUACAUACAUACACUGAUUGUGCUUAGGAUUUUGCUCAUGCAAUCCUAUUAUAAUUCGUUAAGUUAACUAUAUUGCAGAGUGGAAGGUUGAACGAGUCCGUACCAAUUAAGAAAAAGAAUAAAGUGAUUAGAGGGAUAAUUAAAUCAUUUGGAGGUAUGUAGAUACAUGUUUAUUAUUGUAUGUUCGGGUAAAUGUUAAGAUUACUCCCACCACCUCCGAUUUUUAGGUUCAUUUGACGCGUUUUCGCACGAAAUGAACAAAUCUGGCAGAAAAAAGUGUCAGACUUACCCGCGAAUCGAGAUAUCAAGCGUUAAAGUUGACGACUAUUUAGGUUAGGAUAUCUAACCUAACCUAACGUUUGACUACGAAGAUAUUCGAUUCGCCAGUCAGAUAUUCGGAAGAAACGUAUACUUGUAAUGGCGAUGAAGUUUGUUAUAUCACGUUAAUAAUAAUAAUAAUAAUGUUUGUUAUAUACCGUAAUAACAAUAAUAAAAAAAUAUAUAUAUAAUUAGUGUACGUUUUUUAAGAUAACCCUAUGUAUAAUUUUAAUAUUUUUAUUUAUUAUUUUAUAAUUUAACAAUAAAAUAAAAUUCAUAUCGCUCGUACGCGUGUGGCACUCACGUGUGUAGACGAUAUGAAUCUCAAUUAGUGCACUCAUAUCAGAUUCAUGUCGCCCGCAUGCGUGCGGCAUUCACACGUGCGGGCGACAUGAGCCUCAAAUGCGGACAUAUCUGCAUGGUGCUGUGCAGGCACACUGUGACGAUUAUUACGCACACGUGCGCGCACCGUGCACUCACUAUGCAGGCAUUUUAAGCUUGUUUUCUAUUCCUGCACUAGACUGCACUGGAACGUUCCUUCUUGCUUUCGCUAACUUUGAAACAUCUAUCUAUUUCAUUUUAAGUGUACACUUAUUUAGAGAGUUCAGGAACAGAAAACAAACGGUUUGUUAUCUGGGUAGUUCCUGUCACCAGAUUCCAUUUCAUGUUCCCCCCACUUACGAUGGAGAUAGAGAAACUGUAACUCACAUAUACAUCUGCACUGGCAUAAUCACCAGGGUUCUCCGCUCCAGAACAAACGCCAUCACAUAAUCAUCACAUCAAUGUACACCCCGCUAUACACACAUACGUUUACGAUUAACACAACAAAAACUUAAAUUUGUCAGUAGUUAAACGUAGAGUUAGUUAAAGAUAAUGUUAGAAAUAAUACGUUAAUUAAAAGCUUGUUUAUAAACACCCCGACAAUAUUCAAAAUAAACUUUUUAUAAAUUUUAAUUGUAUAAAAUGUCUUUCUUCAUUAAACAAAAUUUUUUUUUUCUUUCUAAUUUCAAUUGAUUUUCUCGACCAUAGACCCUACCACCAUCUCUAGCUCUUGAAAGAUUUCAGCACGUGGUCCGGUCCUGGGGAGAGCGUUUAAAUACGUUGCCCCGAAACAGGACCGUAAAACGCGAGUGGCGGGCUGACCAUCUGUCAUUGGAUCCUGAUCAACCAUUGACACAUGACCAGAACGUCAGUGCGUUCUUUUCGUGUCACGCCCCAUAAUACGCGUGCACGAGCUCAGUGUUGCGUCCUCCCACCCCUUUCCCUAAAUCCAGCUUAUCGUAAGAUAAAAAUCACACUCCUAAGGCCGGACGUAACAGUAUAUUAAAUACUGUGAACAAGAAAGAGAGAGAGAGACAAAACAGAGUAAAAUACGUGUGUAUUGAGAAACCAGAGCACGUGGCGGUGUCGAGUCGAUCAACUGUAAAUGAUUCAGUGAUGAAACGGUCACCAGCUUCAACCCAUGCGAAAUUAGAAGCUGCCAUGCAAAAAUGGCUCUGUCGAUUAGAUGACAGGAUCAGGAGUAUAAUUAAUAAUAAUAAAAUGUUUAUUAAUCAGUAAAACAAAGUUGUUUUACUGAUUAAUACACAUUUACUGAAAGUCUUCCAUGAGAAACUUUGCGAAACAUGUUUUCUAUCGUGUCUUGUCGUUUCAAAAAGGAAUGGAACCGUUGACAUUAAUUAUGAUUACGUGACGCAGCACUGGUUUCUAGAAUGUCAAGGAAAUCCAGUGAGUCUUAAUUUGUAACAUCUAUGCUGUAGGUCGAUUUUACGGAUAUAUAACAAUUUCUAAACGAUUGAAUCGUAAUUAUUCUCUUUGUACGCAUAUAAAUAUCAAUAAUAAUGCCUAAUAAUUAGUAAAAGUCAAUAUAUCCGAUUGUUAGUUUAUAUAUGCAAAUAAAAGGUUUUAUAUCA